rnacentral:rRNA from 1 species
AUUUGUCUGGUUAAUUCCGAUAACGAACGAGACCUUAACCUGCUAAUUAGAUCUUGUUAUCUUAUAACUUGUAUCUUCUUAGAGGGACUAUGUAAAACAAAUACAUGGAAGUUUGAGGCAAUAACAGGUCAGUGAUGCCCUUAUAUGUCCUGGGCUGCACGCGUGCUACACUGAUGUAUACAACAAGUGCCUAACCAGACAUGGUAUGGCAAUCUCGAAUAUGCAUCGUGAUGGGGAUAGAUCUUUGCAAUUAUAGAUCUUGAACGAGGAAUUCCUAGUAAGUGCAAGUCAUCAUCUUGCAUUGAUUAUGUCCCUGCCCUUUGUACACACCGCCCGUCGCUCCUACCGAUACCGGGUGAUCCGGUGAACCUUUUGGACCUUAACUGGGAAGAUAAGUAAACCAUAUCACCUAGAGGAAGGAGAAGUCGUAACAAGGUUUCCGUAGGUGAACCUGCRGAAGGAUCA